GAUGAACGCUGGCGGCAUGCCUAAUACAUGCAAGUCGAGCGAACAGAUAAGGAGCUUGCUCCUUUGACGUUAGCGGCGGACGGGUGAGUAACACGUGGGUAACCUAUCUAUAAGACUGGAAUAACUCCGAGAAACCGGGGCUAAUGCCGGAUAACAUGUUGAACCGCAUGGUUCUACAGUGAAAGGCGGCUUUGCUGUCACUUAUAGAUGGACCCGCGCCGUAUUAGCUAGUUGGUGAGGUAACGGCUCACCAAGGCAACGAUACGUAGCCGACCUGAGAGGGUGAUCGGCCACACUGGAACUGAGACACGGUCCAGACUCCUACGGGAGGCAGCAGUAGGGAAUCUUCCGCAAUGGGCGAAAGCCUGACGGAGCAACGCCGCGUGAGUGAUGAAGGUCUUCGGAUCGUAAAACUCUGUUAUUAGGGAAGAACAAAUGCGUAAGUAACUGUGCGCGUCUUGACGGUACCUAAUCAGAAAGCCACGGCUAACUACGUG
rnacentral:rRNA from 1 species